UACGAAGGGGGCUAGCGUUGCUCGGAAUCACUGGGCGUAAAGCGCACGUAGGCGGCUUUUUAAGUCAGGGGUGAAAUCCUGGAGCUCAACUCCAGAACUGCCUUUGAUACUGAGAAGCUUGAGUCCGGAGAGGUGAGUGGAACUGCGAGUGUAGAGGUGAAAUUCGUAGAUAUUCGCAAAGAACACCCAGUGGCGAAGGCGGCUCACUGGCCCGGUACUGACGCUGAGGUGCGAAAAGCGUGGG
rnacentral:rRNA from 1 species